rnacentral:tRNA from 1 species
GUCAAGGUGCCAGAGUGGUUAAUGGGCUGCCCUGCUACUCUCUCAAUGGAGUACAGUUCAGGCAGUGGCUUCGGUCGCGCAGGUUCGAAUCCUGUCCUUGACG